GACGAACGCCGGCGGCGUGCUUAACACAUGCAAGUCGAACGGAAAGGCCCUGCUUGCAGGGUGCUCGAGUGGCGAACGGGUGAGUAACACGUGGGUGAUCUGCCCCUUACUUUGGGAUAAGCCUGGGAAACUGGGUCUAAUACUGGAUAGGACCAUGCUGUAGGUGGUGUGGUGGAAAGAUUAGUUUCGGUAAGGGAUGAGCUCGCGGCCUAUCAGCUUGUUGGUGGGGUAAUGGCCUACCAAGGCGUCGACGGGUAGCCGGCCUGAGAGGGUGGACGGCCACAUUGGGACUGAGAUACGGCCCAGACUCCUACGGGAGGCAGCAGAGGGGAAUAUUGCACAAUGGGCGCAAGCCUGAUGCAGCGACGCCGCGUGGGGGAUGACGGCCUUCGGGUUGUAAACUCCUUUCAGCCAUGACGAAGCCCUUGUGGUGACGGUAGUGGUAGAAGAAGCACCGGCUAACUACGUG
rnacentral:rRNA from 1 species